UCCAAGCCUGAGUGCUACAUCAGCUCAAACACAGUGCUGUCACACCUCUAGUUUAACCUGGUUUGAACUUCUAGCUUAUACUCAUAACCCCAACAGGCUUAGAAAUAUAAAAAGGAUUGAAGGUUUUUUCCCUAAGCCUACUUAACUCGUUGGCCUUUCAAGAGUUAGAAAAAAUGCCCAUGCGACAUAAGUGAGACACAGACCUGGCACUGUAUUCUGUGAUUCUCAUGUUCCAAUUCAAAAUAUUUCCCCUGGAUUUUGUCACCAUGAAAGCUGUGAGAAUCACUGUAGUUAACAUUCUGUGAGUCCUGCAUGAGCCAGGAGGAAGGGAGGAAGUAUCUCACCUAGUUUUACACCUUACUUGUGCUAAGCAAACCUGCAAACAUGCUUCUGAGUUGUCCUAACCUGUUUCAGAACAUCACUGUUGCUCUUUGUGGCCCAAUCCAAUUGGUUACCACAUGCCUUGCCACCAGGGCUUACUGGAAUUAUCUGAUCAGAAGACCAGCACUCGGCCACUCCGGAGUUGUAUUUUGUUCCUGAUGUUGGCCAACAGCGGACGUUCCAAAGGACAGUGCAUGUGCAUUUGUACUGAACAAGUUUUAACAGGCUUUUUUUUUUUUUUCUGGGAAAUUUUGUUCUUGGACCAUUUAUGUUAAUUACUUGCAUUACUAUCACUGUCCAAAUUAAAAGUACUGGUAUUGUCCUUCCAGGUAUUGCUCAAACGCUGUGAGCUAUUCUUUCAUGAUUUUUUUUUCCUGAAGUAUCAGUGUUUAUAUCCCAAACUUAAAAAAAUAACAAAUUGUUUAUUGUAAACAUCCUUUGUCUUUCACAUAAAUGUUUAAUCUCUUAUUUAAUCCAGCUAAGCUCUACAGCUUCAGUACUUUCUGACAAUGAGAACUAAUAUAAUUUCAUUCUCCACAGUACAUUUUUGUUUUUACAGAUCCUGAAUGAAAUGCCUUUUGUUUUUCCCAAAUCCCACCUAUCCUCGUGUUCUCAACUAUGAGAGGAAAUAAGAGGCCUUGCUUUAUAUUGUUGUCCAUUAUGCUACAGUCUGGUGAAAACUGUGGUUUCUCUGUCUCUCUUCAAUCCAAACUGCCUAGGUACCUGAUAACAUACGAGCUGUCUCUCCAUGCCUUCUCUUUCUGCUGAGUCUUUAAGCUUUGGUAACCAGAACUGAAAACGGUUUGUGAGGGGAAGAUGUGCCAUCUGCUGAUUACUUUCAGUAUUUUCAACAGUGGGCAGUGCUGUAGGUGUUCAGUGCUAUGUGUGUGUUAUGUAUGUAUGCUAGCUUUGAACUUGCCGGUGUGGUUUUAGUGGCAGCCCACCUACAGCAAGGUGAAAACCGACCAAGGUUAAUUCACCCAGUGUCUCUGGCAGGUGCAGCAGCCCCUCCGAGCUCAGCCAGCUGCUGUAGGAAUAUCUGUGGAGCAGAUCGUGGCUCUGGGGAGGAGGUACCUGAUGAGCCCUUAGCAGCAUUUGUUGUCUCGUUGAGGCUGAUGCCCAUGCUUCCCUUCCAGGAACUGACAGUUCAGUUACCGGCAUCUGUGAUGCGCUGUGGGGACGCUUUGUGAGACAAGUUCCUGCAGUAGUGUGGUGCACGUAGGUUGAAUGAGAAACAGUGCUACUGUGACUGGGGAGCAUUUGUUAAAUAGAGUGUCUAAGGAGCACCUAUUAAUGCUUCUGUUAGCCCUCUUCCUUCAAGAAUACCCUGGUGCUCUACAAAGGCUGACCCAGUGCUGGUGCCUUCCUGCCCUGUGGGGGCUGCAUGGGUGCCCUCAUCAGCCCUGUCUUGACAACAGCCCAGGCUUUGGCCAGCUGAAGCUGGAUUAAAGAUUUAUCCCUUUCCUGUAGCUGAGUGCUUUUCAGAUGGUAUAUAAGAAUUAUGUUCCAUGCUGUAAUUAAUCAGGCAGCUGUUUAUGAACCUGGACAGGAUUUCAAUUACUCCUGUAAUCCUUGUACCUUUGCAGCUGAGAAUAACAAAUCGCUUCCUCAAAGGUAUUAGUGGAGGGAUUGGUUAGGAAACAGGAACAUGGGUAUUUGCUGUCUAAAGGAUAGGAAAACUGGGUCUGCUUUGUGUCUGUUUGCCUUACUUUCUGAAGCCAAUAUCCUGAAGUCUCUUCACCCCCAAAGUAACUGUGGUGAUCCAUCAACCACUUAAAGACAAUUUUUAUGUAUAUGAGAGGAAGGUUUUUAGUAGAUGAACAGCAGUGCAAUACGUGACAUCAUCUUGAUAGCUUUUCUAGGAGUUCCUUGCAGCUAGAGAAUGUGGGUAUGGGAAUAGAACACUCAGGUGUUCUGGUUACUGGUGGUAACUAGCCUGGAACUGCUCCCAGUGGGAUGAGGGACUGUGACCUGGAGCAACGGCUUGGGCUAUGUUUUUACUUAUUCAAGAAAAUACUUAAUUCCCCACAUCAAGAAGGAACAUUUGUUCAGCCCACUCAGUUCUAUUAAAACCCCUUUCUACUAACAAGGGCCUGAGUAGCUCUGAAAUCAGUCUAGAGCCAAAACUGUCACAUCCCCUGGAUCAAAACCAAUGACUCACAAGAUAUGCUAAUAAAUUAAUUGUGCUGUGGCUGUGUGGGGCUCUGUUUUAUUUUUAGUACAGGAACCUGUUCCAAGGGCAGGUUUUAGGAUUUUUUUUUUCAGCACUGAAUUAUGCUAAUUAAAUUUUUGUAUUAAUGUUAUUUGUAGAGGAGCUUUAAUAUGUGAAAGAAUGUUACAAAGUCAGUGAUCCUAUUAGCUGCCAUUAAAAUGCAACACAACAGCUCUUCAAAUGUCACAUUUUGUGGCCAUUUGGAACAGGUGGAGCGCAUCUACAGAUGAACUCAUGCUCAAAGUGAACAGGAUUUGAUAUAUCAGCUUCUUAAUUCAUUGUUAUUGUUGAUCUUUACAUGCUACUUUUGAAUAAACUUGUUCAGCAUGAAUUUGUCUCAUUUGACGCUAGGACUCAUGUAUCACCAAGUGAAGGACCAAAGCCAAAUUUUGGAUAAGUGGAAGCAGGAAGAAUGAAACGCAACCUGAUUGAGGUGCUAACGUGAGAACGCUGUUCUCCUCCUCCCCUUUCCCUCCCUCCCCUCCAAAGCUGAAAUUGUACUGCUAUAUAAAAGGUCUGUUUAUAAAAGCAACUCACUGACUGCUCCAGCGACUUUCUCAAGUUGUUAGGGUUAGACUGGGGUUUGAUGUGGUGAUGGCUGCAGACACAAAAUAUUGUAGCAUAUAAUUUCUUGUGCAUGCUGUCUCCAGCCUCCUGUUGGGAACCAAUGUGCACUCGCUGAAGAGAGAGCUGCUUGUGGUUAACACCUCCCUUGCUUCAUGUUUGACUUUGAGGUUUUCUACGCCUACAUGUUUCUGCUGCUGAUUGUGUGAAGCUUGAGAGCUCAUGGCUGAAGUUUUGCAAGAGUGCCUGGUGUGCGCAUAUCAGUGAGCAAAGCAGAGUUAUGGGCAUUUAAGGGGCCAUGUGCACUGUUUCACCAAGUAAGCUCCAAAGUACAUAAUGCUUGGGAAAGAAAAAGUUGAAACUGAAGUUAAUGUUACAAGUCUGUCAGGUCUCUUAUUGUGUAUUGAAGCACUUGACUGCUGCCUUCAUAUUGUGAAGAAAAGAGUACAGCAUUAGCUUACUUCUGGUAGAUUGACAGCUGUAGGAUAGUUGGCUUUGGAUUUUGAGACUGAAGUAGGAAGUCGGGAGGAAAUAGGGUUUUAUUCCAUGCAAUAUUCUAACUGCGAUAGCUUCCAUACUCCUUAAGUGAGGAAGACGAGCAUUCAGGUGUCAUCACUGACAUUAAAAAAAAAUAUCUUAUUGGGUUCAAGUUCCUCUUUAUACUAGAGAGAAGACAGUGUGCUGCUCAGGCAGCCUUGGAUUGCUGGGCUGGAUGCUGUGCCACUUUUAACAAAACUGAUUUGUCCACAGGGGGAUACCUAGCAUUGGUUAGAGAUUUGCUAUAGGAUCAUGUUUAUGUGUGAAAGUGAAGAGAAAAAGCAGAGUUAGCAGAAUAGAUCCUUGAGUAAGUGGAUGAUCCAUCUACAGCCAUUUCUAUUUAGAAAAACCCAUGGAUUUAGCAGGUGCGAAUGGGACAGGAGUAGAACUGACCAAUUCCAAGAAAUGAGUGAAACCCCACUGCACCACCUGAUCUUCCCCUCUCUGCUUUUCAAAUCCCUCAAAUUCUGCCAGAAAUGAAUGGCACCUUUCUCUUCACAGAUUUUCGAAACUAGGAGAGCGAGCUGCAUUGGAUUAGCCUUACCAAAACAGAUGUGGUGCUGCUCUGCCAUCAGCAAAACAAAAGGCCUUGUUCAUCCUGUUUGUAUCUUUGCAGGCCUUCACACGGACAUCAAGGCAGCUUUAGCUCAAAGGCCCAAGCAGGAAAGAGCUGUAACUCAAUGCUGUGUUCACAUUGACUUGUUGCCCAACAGGAGAAACAAACCGGCAGGAAUUAAAUAUGCAUUCAAUGAAUCCUGCUGUGAAGUGUUUGUUAGCACGCCAACAUCCCAUGGCCACAUCAGCCUGUGUCUCAGGACCCAGCAGUGGGUAGCUGUCACGUAUUUCCAUUAAAAGAGAUCAUGCAGAGAGUUGCUGUCACACUUGCGUGACGUUCUAGCCUGGGCAGAGGACCCUCCUCACCGUGAAGGUAAAGACUGUGGGAAAGAUUGGUGGUGGAAAUGUAACUGGAGAACUGGGCUGAAACCCAUUAAAAAGUUUACAUUUCUUUAUUUCUUUCUCAAAAGCAGAACAAAAUCCCCCUGGAACAGCAACAAAAAACAAAAACAAACAAACAAAAAACCCCAAAGCACCAAGCUGCUUCUUUGCAGCUUAAUUAAUCUGCUUUGUUUAAAACUGAGCUGUAUGCAAAGAAGAAAAUGUGCUUCUAAUGGCUAUUUCUUUACUCUUUUCCCACUACCCUCCUGCAUGUACAGGCUUGCUAGAAAGAAAGUAGGAUUAUAACCACUGAUUGUGGGAUUGAGACCUGUUUAAGAGAGGACAAGUGAACUAUUCAGAUGACUGCACAUUGUGUUUGUGGAACCAAGCACACCAGAGAAAAGCUUUUACUUUAGGUUGGUUAUUUCACUAUCUCCAGCGAGACUAAGGAUAGGGAGCUUCUGUGAUUCAGUGCAACUUUUGAGAUCUCAGCAGAAACCCUUUAAACUCUCCAAAUAUUUAGACCAAAGCUUGAUUAAGACUUGAGAAAUCUUUAUUGUCAUAACAUGCUUGUCUGUGUGAUUACAGGGGCUUAAUGCUUCUAUUUGGGCUGAUGAAGUUUUGCUUCAAUGUGGUGUAGGUAGGCAAAGGGAGUGCACUGUUUGCAUUGGGUGGCUCUGCUCAGUAGAAGCAGGAGAGUCCUUGUGUGCAAGAUGCUUCAUGAAAUACAGUGCAUGCUUUUAUUCUUUAAAUUCAUACUUUUUAUUCUCAGUAAAUAUAAUUUGCUAGAUUCACCAUCAAUUGAGAGAGCAGUCGUGGUGAUAGAAUUACACAAAUCUGUUUUUCUUACCCAGAGAAGAUGUGAGGUUACUUAGGGAAUGGCAUUAAAGCUUUGGACAGCGAAUUUACAGGAAUUUGUCACAGCAUUUUGCAGGUACAUGGCUGAAAGUGGAGAUCUGCCUAAAAAAGAUAGUAGCCUCUGAGUCAGCUCAUAGAACAAACAGCUGUCAGUACCUGUCACAGUCUGGCCACAUACUUAGAGAAGAAAGCUGAAAAUAGAAGCAGCUGAUGUAGUCUAGGAUCCCCAAAUCUCCCAAGGGAGGAGGAAUCCAAUUCAAAGAGCUUGCUUCCUGGAUGGAUGUGGUCUAUGACACCUGCAGGCUAAAAACAAGGAUGAGAAAAACACUAUGAGAAUCCACAUUAUUUUAACAGUCAAUUGGUUUGUUCUACAGAGCACUCUGCAGUAGAUCCUACUUUGUCAAUUAGGUUUAAGACAAAAUACUUUCUCCCUCACUUCCUACUGAAACAGAAAAGGUAGAGCCAGGUACAGCAGCCCAGGUAAUUUUCAGUCAUUGUGUCUUGCAUGGUAUUUUUGUUAUUGUCUCCUCCAAAUGCACAAAAGAGGCCAGUUAAACUUUACAUAUUUACAUUAUUUCAGCUAGCCAAGAUCUGCUUAUGUGCUUUGCAGAAUAGCAUUUAUUGGUCUUGAUGUGAAAAAGUAGACAUCCUUUUUCUCCCCAACAGUGAUCUUCUACAUACCAGUCAGCUGACUGCACUCUUAACAGCACAUACAGAAACUGGCUUCUACAGCAAAGACAUGUUGAGAGUCAGCUACAGUAACACCUCUAUUUUUUUUUUCCCUUUGAUUACAAUUUUUGAUUGGUAUAACUGCAGAUUGAUAGAGAAAGAAUACCAUAUUUAGGAACUUUGCUUAUGUAUUUCUUGGCAGACUGAAACAAAACUAAGCUGGGGAAUUAAUAUCUCCUUUUCAGAUUUUUUAGGAAGCUUUCAAGUCAGUUAGGUAGUAGAUAGAGUCUGAUAUCUGCUAGAUAGGGUAAUACUCCCUCUAAACAAACUGACUUAACAAUUGCUAAGUUUCUGUCAAUGUGGAAUCAAACAUAUCACCCACAAAAGACAGAUGAGUGCUUUCAUUUUUUUUUUCCACUGUAGCUGUGGAGAUGUCCAAAUGUGGGCUCAACUUCAAAAAAAAAAAAAAAAAAAAAAAAAGAGCCAGCAGUGUAACCGUUGCUUUCUCUGAGAAAUGAAGAGCAUCCCUUUUCAGUUCCUUUUGGGUUGAUUCUUCUCCUUUCCUUUAUCUGUGAAUUUAUGUUGCAUAUGAGAUAUUGCUAGACAGCUUGGUAAUGACGGAAUGAACAAAGCGUGAGAAAGAAAACUUAUGCUCCUGUAGACUAUUGCAAAGGGAAGAAGAAUCUAUAGUUGCAAUCUGCAAAAUGCAGGAGGGCAGACUAAUCCUUACAGGCAUUGUUAUGUGUAAGCUGCAUCUUAUGCUUUCUGAGGCAUAAUUGUUAUGUUCAUACAUGAGAUCUUAGCUGUAAUUGUAGUCUCUUGCGCUAUAACAAUAAUUUUAACAGCUGUUGCAAAGUGUUCCUUUAAUGACCCCAUUUUCCAUGUAUGGACCAAUGACUCAUCUCACAAAUAGUAAAUUCAUUAUUUAAUAAAGCUUUAAUAUCAGGCAUAUGUUCCAGUUAUAUAAGAUUCCAAAGAGAGAAACAGUGAUGCUAUCAGUUCAAAUUCUCAUGUGAUAAGGGUUAGCCCAAAACUGGAAACUGCUCAAUACAAAUGGACAAAGCUUUUUUCUCCCAGAGCUUCUGUUUCUCAGGGUAGCUUUGUUUCAGCUUCAUGGUAUUCCGUGUCUGAGGAAGCUGUGUACAUUUUGCAGAGGCACUUGUGCAUUAGAUGCAGAGCAACGGAAACAAGCUGUGUGCUCUCCCUUCUAAUGUGCUAAAACGCUAUUUGCUCCAUCUCUUCUUCAAUCCCAGUGCUGUGAGAUAAAUAUCAAUGGCAGUUGGUUGUGAUUUAUCUGGAGAUAUUUAUUCUUAAUAGCAAUUGCUAUAUCAUGAAACAGUAAUCUUCUAGAAGUGAUUUUGCAAAACAGACUAUCACUUUCCAAGGAACAGGAAUUUAAGAUACAAAAAUGCAUCAGCCAUUUUCCAUAGUGUCAUAGUGCCUGAGCACAAGAAGCUAUUCUUCUGCACAUUCCGUGCUUUACUGGGAACAGAGCCAUAUGUGUGCUUUAAAAAUGUGCCUUUGCUUGUCAUUUCUGACUGCAUUACUGCAUGUGAAAAGGCGAUGAAAUCUUGCAGAGUCAGAAUGUUGCUGAACAGCUGGGCCCCAUUGCAUUAGCAGUGAUAAAAUCUCAGGAGUGCUUUACUUUGUUAUUGAGUCCAUGUUAGAUUCCAGCCAUAGCAAGGAUGUGUUUUACUUUCCAUGCGAUUAGAAAUAAAGGCACACUGGAUCUGACUCGUAGAGUAUCACGUGACACAUCAGUGAAAAGCAGACACUUCUGGGGUGCAGUGCAGACUCUUUGAUUUCUAGUCCCCAAUGAGAGCUUAAAACUGGAAACAAAUGUAAAUGUUGCAAUUCUGCUGCGGGGUAUUUGUGAGUGCUUGUCUCUCUAAAAUGAGAAAUGCUGCUUUCUGAAAAUUGUGUGUAAUGCAGGCAAAGGAAUUUUGAACAAGUAAUUUUACUCCUCUGAAAUAAAAGAGGAAUCAAAAAAGUAUACCCCUGUAUGGGAGACACCAUCCUAGUGGCAGCCUUGUCAUCUCUGCAGGAUUCCCUAUUGGAUUUCUUUCUUCCCAGCAGAGCACUUUUGAAAUUGUCAGAUACUAUUUUUCAUGGCCUCUUCAUCACUGCCUAUAGUUUCUGUCUGUUGGGAGAUCCACAAGGGAACAUACAUGCCUGAGUCAUGCAGUAAGUUGGCUGGAAAAAAAAUGGAUGGGCGUUUAUGAGCUGUGCCUUUCCAAGCCAUGGCCCCAAGGACAAAGAGAAACUCAUAAUCGCACCUGCACUCCCUCAUGUUGGCCAGAGAAAGAACACACCCAGGCCUGGUCUGCAUGAGCCAGAAGGCACAUAUUUUCAGUCUUCUGAAAUGCAUUUUGAGACAGAAGUGCAAAUUUUCACCCUGCUUUGUUUGCCUCACUACUUUCCUCACCUCUUCCGUGCUUUCAGCCUGUGAUGUUUCAGAAAGGGAAAGAUUUCUUUGGAAAUUUCUUCAUCUUGUGUUUUCCCAGAGCUGGAAGGGGAUGGAAUAUGAGUGCGGACUGUUCCAGAUGAACAGAAGUAAACAUGAUGAGCUGAAGCCCAUUUGUAAUUUGAAAAAUGUCAUAUUAGCAAAGCUUCCCUUCUGUCCUCUGUCUUUUCUUGAAGCAACUUGUAUUUUCUACUGGAUUCUGGUAAAAGCUAACUUCUGUGCUGCACGUGAUGUUGACAAAAGAUAUCACUGAGCAGUACUAGGCCCCACAUCUACCUGCCUAUUAACACCAUUCCCAGUCCUACAACAGGUGAUGUCGAGAUGUAGAAUCUUACCCAUAGUAAUUUCUUCAUCCCUUGACAAAAUCUGUUUAGUUUUUAGGUGUGCACUUUUUUCAUCUCCUUUUUCCUAUCAAAACACACUUCAAAAUUCCAGCUGUAUUUUUAGAUUCUUUUAGACCCCCACAAUCUUCUAAACCAUUUUUCCUCACCAGGAGAGCACUGUUCCUGCUGGUGGAAGCUUUCUUUCAUGCAGCAUUCCAUAAGGCAUUCUGAAACCUUCAGGUAUUUCAGCUUUCUUAUAGGUCGUGACAUACAGUCCUAUUGAUGUAAACUGUCAGAACUCCCGUAGUCUGUAAGGUGCAUGCCUCCCUCUAACUAUUGCUGGUGCUGUGCACUAAUAGGUCAUCUAGCAGUACAAAUGUGUGUGUGUGAAGUAAAUCCUUUGGAAGGAGAUCCAAUUGGACAGCAAUGCAGGACGACUUUUAUGCCAUAUUAGCCAAAAUAUACGAGACAGAACUUACCACAUUGUGCUACAGCAUACUGCCUGGUACCUGGCUUGUUUGGUGUCAUGCACCUGCCCAUCAGCUGAGUGCUCUACACGAUGUUGGCUCUGUAGCAUUGCAAGGAUGUGUGUGGUAGAUCACGUGGAAGGAGAACCAGUUGUAGCCACUACCUGGGAAACUUGGGAGAAGCAUCAAGCCCAGUGUCAGUAUGUCAUUUACAUACUCCCACUGACCAGCCACUAAAAUGGUGAAAAAUGGGAAAAGCCAUUUUUAUCUCCUUGUUUUUCUGCCUGAUCAGCCUGGAGGAACAAGCAGCAACCAGUGGUAAAAGGCCUUCAUUUUGUUAUAUGAAAUUUUGUGCCCACUGCAGAAAUUCAGUUUGUCCUUUCUGUGCACGUAUCUGCUAAUCUGUUUCAGAGUUGUUGCCAACUGCAUCAGCCGGAGGAAGUCCAGUGGAAGGUGUAUGAAGUAGCUGGGGCAGGUUAGUACUCUGCCACACUAAGGCUGGGGAGCAAGCAUGGUGGGCACUCCUUGCCAAGAUGGCCAGGCUGGGGAGCUGUGGCUGUGGCACCAGUCUGGGAACAUAAGUACACAGACAAGAAGUGGUGGGAGUGGAGAGCCUGAGAGACUCUGCUUGGCACAGCGCCUGGCACUUGGCAGAACACCCAGAAACAGUCCAAGACAAAACAGAACCAUUCCAAAUCCCCAAAUCAAUGAAGGACCCACUAAGCAAAGCUUUUAUACCUGGAGUAGUGGCGUGCAUACUUUAUAGGGGCAUCUUCUUGUAGCUUCUGACUCAGAUAGUUGAGAAGUAUGGGGAGCAUCAUCCUGCUUCCUCGUAGUCACUUCUGUCAUGGUAUUCUUGUCUUCUUCCUUUCCAUGGAAAGAUUCAGAUCGUCCUUCAACUUUGGGAGUCCCAAAUGCUGCCCUGGAGGAUCCCUGUUUCCUGAAUUUAGGAAUUAUUUGUGCAUCUUAGUUUAAGAAGUGCUAAUCUUCCUCAUGCCGUGAAACAGAAUAAUCCAUUAUUGACAGUCCUCCUGUGAGCCUAGCUUAGAACCUGUGCUCUGUGUUGAUUCAAGUCCCUGAGGUCUCUAUGUGAGAUUUUGUGGCAAAUUGCAUCUUUCCUCAAAUUUCCUAACUGUCCCAAGCACGGGAAUUCCCUCCUCCCCAAAUCAAACAGCUCUUGUACCUCUGUCUCAUAGGAUGGUGGUGGAUUGUGUCUGAGGAAAAUUAUCUUUUAUCAGAAGGAUGAAGAAAAUCAUCAGAUUUGCAUUCUUCACCAGGAUCUACUGCUGUUUCAACCCUGCCUAUAACUUUGGGUCAGAUUUGAGUUGACCAGCAGAUAUCUCCUCGGGAACAUCCCUUAAAGGAAUUGUGCAAGUAUUUUAAGCCCAGCAGCUUUGGACAACAGCACACUAAAUUAGAUGAAGUUUUAGAGGAAGGUUUGAGAAUUAAGAAGCCGUGAACAGCUCCCAUUUUGCCUACUGGUAGGAAGCACUGAGGGAUCCAACACUUAUACAGGUAAAAAAUACAACUGAUGCACAUUUUAUUGAUAUAUUUGUGUGUUUGAGAUCUUAAAUCCUAAACCGGCAAGCAUUACAUGUGUAGGAACACACCAUGUAAGUUUCCCCUAGGGCAAGGCUGCCUUUUAAGGCUCACUAAGAGGAUCCAUCGCUAAACAUAGGGGGAUUUUUUGUUCCUCUGUUUGAGGGCUGAGGUGAACUACACCGAGGGACAUGCUGGUUGAUCUGAGGUGCUUCAGUUUCAGCUCUAGGAUGCCUGUUUCUCAGCACUUCGUUCUGUUUUCCCUAGCUCUUCUUUUUUUCUCCUAUCAUUUGCAUGUUUCCCUCUGCACACGCAGGGACCCACAGGUGCAGCCUGCGGCGGCUCAGCUGAUGCUUACUCCAUUUACAGAGAACUGAGCCUUUGUUUUUCCACUCGUCUGCUCUCACAGCGGAACAGAUCUCUAAAAUAAAGUAGGAUCUUAGAAAAAGCUGAAACAAAAGCUUUCCACCUAGGCAUAGGGAAACCUUAUGUAACUCCUUACGUAAUGGGAUGUGGAGUACUUUCUCAUGAUUAACUUCAGAGUCGCUCAGGCUCCCCUGGCUCCCAACCUGCCUCGUUUCCUCCCGGCUCUGGCGGGGAGAAAAGGGGCUUCCCAGCCCGAGCCCCGAGGGCAGUGCGCCUCGGCUGCUAUUUCUGAAAGCUGCUCCUCCGAUUUAUUGCCGUACGAGGAGAUAAAACAGGAGGGGAACGGCGCUUUCUUUUUACUCAGUCUCCUUUCCUAAAACACCUUACAAAAGCAGUAAGAGGAAGGGGCGCUGGGAAGCUCCCUGCUCUCUGGUCUACACCAGACGCGCACAGCCGUUAUUUCCUCCUCGCACAACCCACGUGCGGUUCGUUCUGGGGCCCAGCACGGCGCUUCAGCACGAGCCGUGCUUUCCCGUUGCCGCCGUGCAGGGACGGCCGCGGCCCCGGGCCCUUCCCUCGUGACCCCGUCCGCUCUGCGAGACUAUUCCGAUAGUCGCUGAGGCACUCCACUCUCGCCGCGGCACGGCUGCUGCGUGCUCCCGCCGCCCGUUCACGCACCGCACGGCUCUCCCGCGGCCCGGUCCCGGGUGCACGCACGGCAACGCUGACCGGCUAUGCCACGGGACGGCAUUCACGCCCGCCCCCCUACCGGCCGCUCCGUACCGACAUGCCCCACGCGGCCGGCCGGCGGCGGAAGCCGGAAGCGCGGCGGCGGAAGCGGGGCUCAGCUGGCGGGGGGGUGUCGCAGGUGAAGCUGGGAAGCGCGGAGCCAUCUUGGUGCCGGCGCCGGGCAGGGACUCGCAGCCGUCGCCGCGCCAGGACAGCGAACCGCCGCCGGGCCGGGCACGGGGGGGCGUCCGCGCGCGGGGCGCUGCCGGCCGUGGGCCCCGAGAGCCGCGGGCUCCGGCCCUGAGGGGAGAGGCACCGCGCCGCCCCUGCCCGCCCGCCCGCCGCCGGCCCCCAGCGCCGGGCUCUCCCCGCCCGCGCCCCCAUGAGGCCGGAGCCGCCGCCCGCCGCCCGCUCGCGCCGGUGACGAGCCGCCGGGAGGUCGCGCUGCCCCCGCCGCCGGCGCCCCGGCCCCGCCGAGCCCCCUCCUUCCGUCGGCGCUCGGGCUCACCGCCCCCGGGGGCGUUCCUGAGGUGCCGCGGGCGGGGGGAGGCCCGGUCCCGGCGGGGCUUUGCCCCGAGAGUGAGACAAGCACCAGCGCAGGGAGCCCCGGCCGGUGCGCGGCCGCUGCGGGUCCGAACGCGGGGCUGCCGGCGCCGGGAGCGCCGGGCUGUGACAGACGCGCACCUGCCCGGGCUGGAAGCACCUCUCCGCAUCCCGGCCGCCCCUCGGGGUCGGACACACUUUGUGGACAUAAGCAUUUUUUAAACUUUUUUUAAGAACUCGUUUUCUGGGAUUUUUACAAGCAACCCUUUAGUUUGCAUUGGUUUCCUGCUUCUCCCGCUUCAAGGUAGCGUUUGCUCUGUUCUUCCUGGUACCGGAGCACGGGGAUCUGAACGGAAUUGACAUUUUAAGUACUCCAGGAGCCCUCCAGUCCUUCCACCUGUUAAAGCGAGCAGCUCCGCUUCCUUCCUUCGUCUUUUUUCCCCGUGUUGCCUGUUGGAUGUGAUGGAACUCAUGUUUGCGGAGUGGGAGGACGGGGAGAGGUUCUCCUUCGAGGACUCGGAUCACUUUGAGGAGGACUCCCUUUGUUCCUUCAUCUCAGAGGCAGAAAGCCUUUGCCAGAACUGGAGAGGAUGGCGGAAGCAAUCGGCCGGACCCAAUUCUCCCACUGUCAAAAUGAAAGAUGGGCUGGUGAUCCCAUUGGUGGAACUGUCUGCAAAACAGGUUGCAUUUCACAUUCCGUUCGAGGUCGUGGAAAAAGUUUAUCCUCCAGUUCCUGAGCAACUACAGCUUCGGAUCGCCUUCUGGAGUUUCCCUGAAAAUGAGGAAGAUAUUAGAUUGUACUCAUGUUUGGCUAAUGGCAGUGCAGACGAGUUCCAGAGAGGGGAGCAGCUGUUCCGAGUGAGGGCAGUCAAAGACCCUCUCCAAAUAGGUUUCCAUCUGAGCGCCACUGUGGUACCCCCGCAGAUGAUGUCACCCAAAGGUGCAUACAAUGUGGCAGUGAUGUUUGACCGAUGCAGGAUCACAUCAUGCAGCUGUACCUGUGGAGCUGGGGCCAAGUGGUGUGCUCACGUCGUGGCACUCUGUCUCUUCCGGAUACACAAUGCAUCUGCGGUGUGCUUACGAGCGCCUGUUUCUGAGUCCUUGUCUCGACUACAAAGAGACCAAUUGCAAAAAUUUGCUCAGUACCUAAUCAGUGAACUUCCACAACAGAUUCUUCCAACUGCUCAGCGCUUGCUGGAUGAGCUAUUAUCUUCUCAGUCAACUGCAAUCAAUACAGUGUGUGGAGCCCCAGAUCCCACUGCUGGACCUUCUGCGUCAGAUCAAAGCACCUGGUACCUAGAUGAAUCUACCCUGAGUGACAACAUAAAGAAAACCCUUCAUAAAUUCUGUGGACCCUCUCCUGUUGUUUUCAGUGAUGUGAAUUCCAUGUAUCUCUCUUCCACGGAGCCGCCGGCUGCUGCUGAGUGGGCCUGCCUUCUGCGUCCCCUGCGAGGGAGAGAGCCUGAGGGAAUCUGGAACCUACUUUCUAUCGUGCGGGAGAUGUUUAAGAGACGGGAUAGCAAUGCUGCUCCUUUGCUAGAGAUUCUGACUGACCAGUGUCUGAACUAUGAGCAGAUAACUGGCUGGUGGUACAGCGUGCGGACAUCUGCGUCACACAGCAGUGCUAGCGGGCACACAGGACGCAGCAAUGGCCAGUCAGAAGUAGCUGCUCAUGCCUGUGCAAGUAUGUGUGACGAGAUGGUGGUUCUUUGGAGGCUGGCUGUCCUUGACCCAACUAUUAGUCCACAGAGGCGCAGGGACCUUUGUUCCCAGCUCAGGCAGUGGCAGCUAAAGGUCAUAGAUAACGUUAAGAGAGGUCAGCACAAGAAAUCCCUGGAGAAGCUAUUCCAGGGUUUCAAGCCAGCAGUGGAAGCCUGUUACUUCAACUGGGAGGAAGCUUAUCCUAUCCCUGGGAUCACCUAUAGCAGCACUGACAAGAAAAACUCAUUCUGUUGGGUGAAGGCCAUCCAACAGAGGAGCUGCCGGUUGCAGUGUGCAGAAACUGCUUGUGAGGCUGGUAGAGCCCAUGGACAGGAGCCUGGGGGACCAUGUCUGCAGCCUGGGGACAGGCUGCGUCCCUCACCCCAGGAGCCAGCGGUUCGUCCGAAGGAACUCACUGGAAAGCGGAAAGUUGUCUCUGAAACACCCCAGAGAGUUCUGAGACGACUUUCGGCAGAAGGUGAUAAAGCUGUGUAUAAGACUGCAGUGAGCAAAGCUAAGUUGCCAGUGAGCAAAGGUUUGACCAGUAAGCAUAGUGGGAAACGCCGCAUGAGCAGUGAAGACAGCUCCUUGGAGCCAGACUUAGCAGAGAUGAGCCUGGAUGACAGCAGCUUGGCUCUGGGUGCAGAAGCCAGCAAUACGUUCAGUUUUACAGAAAGCCCACUGAGCAGAAGCUACAGGGAUGCCUUUGAGGAGGAUGGUGGGGUGUACUUCUCUGAGGGACCUGAGCCCAGCGUCAGGAGCAGUUCCACAACCAAGAAAUCAACCAAGGAUCCUGUGGGGGAGAUGGGUAGCGGUGAUGACGACCUGACUUCUGCAGAUGAGAACAGCGGUGGUGUGAGCCUGAAGCCAGAAGAAGUAGGAGAGAAUGGUGCGGCAGGUGGAGGGGAUGACGGAGAAGAGGAAGAUGAUUACCAGGUAUACUAUCUGAAUCCACAAGAGGUAGCCAAGGAAGAUGAUGACAAAGCUGAAGGGGGAAAUGAAGAGGAGCAGGAUAUAUUUGCUGGAAUAAAGCCUCUGGAGCAGGAGAACCGGAUGGAGAUCCUGUUUGCCUGUGCAGAAGCCCUGUAUGCACAUGGAUACAGUAAUGAAGCAUGUCGCUUAACUGUAGAACUUGCCAGGGACCUAUUAGCCAACCCUCCAGAUCUCAAAGUGGAGCAGCCACCAACUAAGCAGGGCAAAAAGAACAAGGUAUCAACCAGCAAGCAAACGUGGAUGGCAACCAACACCUUGUCCAAAGCUGCUUUCCUGCUGACUGUAUUGAGUGAGCGGCUGGAGUACCACAACCUGGCCUUCCGAAUAGGGAUGUUUGCUCUGGAGCUGCAGAGACCGCCUGCCUCUACCAAGGCACUGGAGGUGAAGCUGGCGUAUCAGGAGUCUGAGAUCGCAGCCCUCUUGAAGAAGAUUCCCUUGGUCACCAAUGAGAUGAAUACUAUUCGAGGAAGAGCUGAAGAACUGCGAGAAGGAACGUUAUGUGAUUAUCGUCCUGUCCUGCCUCUCAUGUUGGCUAGCUUUAUAUUUGAUGUCCUGUGCACUCCAGUGGUUUCUCCUACAGGCUGUAGACCCCCAAGUCGUAAUUGGAAUAAUGAAAUGCCUGGAGAUGAAGAGCUUGGUUUUGAAGCAGCCGUUGCUGCUCUUGGCAUGAAGACAACUGUCAGUGAAGCAGAACAUCCUCUGUUGUGUGAAGGCACUCGAAGGGAGAAAGGAGAUCUGGCACUAGCCCUGAUGAUUACUUACAAGGAUGAUCAAUCGAAGCUGAAGAAGAUUUUAGACAAACUUCUGGACAGAGAGAGUCAGACUCACAAGCCACAGACUCUGAGUUCCUUCUACUCUUCCAGCAAGCCUACAGUAGCAAAUCAAAAGUCUCCUUCCAAACAUGCUGCCCAGUCUGCUGCAGCUAUCCAGCAGCUUCCAGGGACUUCAGUUGCUCAGCAAGCUGGCGUAAGCCCAGCAGUGCAGAGCAGUCCUGAGACCUUUGUGGAGAAGAGUUCACAGGAGUGCUCUCAGAGGUCCCCCUGUGAGCCAGCUGGGGAAUCCACUGUCUUGAAACAGGAGGGAAAGGUCCCCAGUCGUCUGGCCCUUGGAAACCGAGGUGGAUACAACGGGAGAUGCUGGGGUUCACCCGUCAGGCAGAAGAAGAAACACACAGGCAUGGCUAGUAUUGACAGCAGUGCUCCUGAAACUACCUCUGACAGUUCUCCAACGCUCAGUCGGCGUCCCCUACGUGGGGGAUGGGCAACAACAUCCUGGGGCAGAGGACAAGACAGCGACAGCAUCAGCAGUUCUUCAAGUGAUUCACUGGGAUCUUCCUCUUCCAGUGGCAGUAGGAGAGCCAGUGGGGGAGCCCGUGCAAAAACUGUGGAGGUUGGCAGGUAUAAAGGGAGGCGGCUGGAGAGCCAUGCUCCUCAUGUCCCGAACCAGCCUUCAGAGGCAGCUGCCCACUUCUACUUUGAAUUGGCCAAGACAGUCCUUAUCAAAGCAGGUGGAAACAGCAGUACCUCCAUCUUCACCCACCCUUCCUCCAGUGGUGGGCACCAGGGACCACACCGCAACCUUCACCUCUGCGCCUUUGAGAUUGGGCUGUAUGCACUAGGGCUGCACAACUUUGUGUCUCCCAACUGGCUCUCUCGAACUUACUCCUCUCAUGUCUCCUGGAUCACAGGGCAGGCCAUGGAGAUUGGUAGCGCAGCCCUGAACAUCUUAGUGGAGUGUUGGGAUGGACAUCUGACCCCCCCAGAGGUGGCAUCGCUGGCAGACAGAGCCUCGCGGGCCAGAGACUCCAACAUGGUGCGGGCAGCUGCUGAACUGGCACUCAGCUGCCUGCCCCACGCCCAUGCCCUGAACCCAAAUGAGAUCCAAAGGGCUCUGGUGCAGUGCAAGGAACAGGACAAUCUGAUGCUGGAAAAGGCCUGUAUGGCAGUAGAAGAGGCAGCCAAGGGAGGUGGCGUGUACCCAGAAGUUCUCUUUGAAGUAGCUCACCAGUGGUACUGGCUUUAUGAACAGAUUGUUGGUGGGACUCCAGCCCAGAGAGAAGGUGCCACUGGCUGCAGCGCCAGUGGUGCACGGGCUGCGUCAGAAGCAGCACGUGGGUUGACAGACAACCGGGUGACCACUGAGCCAACCACCGUAACAGUGGCAGCUGCAGUAACCGCAGCAGCAACGGUCAUGCCAGUCAUCUCUAUGGGGUCAACCAUGUACCAGCAGCAUACAAUGGCAGGACCGGCAAUGGCGCAUACACACACCCAGGGCCUCCACCCUUACACCACCCUUCAGACUCACAUUCCCUGUAAUCCCCAGUAUAUUGGACACACUAUCCAGCACAUGCCACGUCCAGCUGUCUUCCCAGUGCCAGGCUCAGCCUACCCACAGAGUGUCCAUCCAGCAUUCAUAGGAGCGCAGUACCCCUAUUCGGUAACAACACCGUCAUUGGCAGCUACAGCAGUGUCGUUCCCUGGUGUGCCAGUCCCAUCCAUGACGCAGAUAGCGGUGCAUCCCUACCACAGUGAAACUGGACUGUCACUGUCUUCCAAUGUAGCAAUAGGAAGUGUCCAUGCAGGAUCAACGUUCCCAGCGAUUCAGGGGGCUUCCUUGACAUCUCUGUCCUCACAGCCCAACUCCCUCGUUACAGGGGGGUUUCCUGCUGAGGAUGAGCAGCACAGUCAGCCUGUGAGCCCCCAGGGUCUGCACUACCUCCACUCUGCAUACCAAGUUGGGAUGCUGGCUCUGGAGAUGCUCGGCCGAAGAACUCAGAGCGAUCAUCCCAACAACUUCUCCCGCAGCCCACCCUACACAGAGGAUGUAAAAUGGCUCCUUGGGUUGGCUGCAAAGCUAGGUGUAAACUACGUGCAUCAGUUUUGUGUCGGUGCAGCCAAGGGAGUGCUGAACCCUUUUGUGCUUCAGGAUAUCAUAAUGGAAGCUCUACAGAGGCUCAACCCCGCGCAUGUGCACAACCACCUGCGCACCCCAGCCUUCCACCAGCUGGUGCAGAGGUGCCAGCAAGUCUACUUGCAGUACAUCCAUUACCGGCUGAUCCACCUUGCUCCAGCUGACUACGAUGACUUUGUGAAUGCCAUCCGCAGCGCCAGAAGCGCCUUCUGCCUGACUCCUGUGGGCAUGAUGCAGUUUAAUGAUAUUCUCCAGAACCUGAAGCGUGGCAAGCAGACAAAAGAUCUGUGGCAAAGGGUCUCUCUGGAAAUGACCACCUUCUCACCGUGACAGCAGAACAAUUAAGGGUAGAGAAGAGAGCAUCUUCUAGAAGGAAAGAAGCAGAUGGAAAUGGGCAAGAAAGCUGAAUGUUUUCAAUACCAGGACAGACCCUCUAAGAGUUGUCUUCUAGCAGCUGCGGGGGCCAAACAGAGGAAGAACCAGACAAUCUCACCUCAGAGUGACGUCGACUGAACAAGCAGCUCAGUGGUCUGAGGCACAGGGAAAUGCGUAGGACAUGUUCACCUACAACCAUCUUUCUUGCCUGUGAAGGUUUUCCUUUUGGAAGCCCUUUCCAGGAGUAUGAGACAGAAGAGCACUACCUGCCUUUGGACUUCAGCAUCUUUACAGCCAGUGAACAAUCAGAGUUGUCAUCUGAUGAAUAACGUGCCUAACAGUUCUCACCUGCUAUGCACACUUCCAGUUCUGAAGUGACCUGAUCUGGCUACUGUUAAAAUCACGGGCCCUUCUGAUACCUUUCUGAUGGCUCAGUUUCCUAUGCCAGAAAAAGAAAACAUUAAUACAUUACAAAACAAUUUUCAGGUCAUUAGGAGAGUGUCCCCUGGGAAGGAAAUGUGUGCUGCUCAGGAGGCUGUGGGCUCUGCUCACCCAGCUGUGCUCACCAUGAUUCCAUUAUGGAUGAAUCCACGUCGGUACCGGGCAGGUCGCAGGUGUGGGUAUUCCUCUGUGCUUGUUACUUGGAUGCUCCAAACAGAUUUCCAUGCCUCAUAGAGUUGUGUGUGGACAGGAUAAACCCCAGAAUGAUGGGGGGCUACAGCAUAGCCCAAGUCUGUGGGGAUCCCGUGCUCCUGGAAGCAGAAUAUGCAGCUUGAUCAGCCAAUAUUAUCCUUACUAAGGAUCAUUCAGCAACAAUUUCCAAACUGGAGCCAAGAGGACAGAGUAAGAAGAAAUCUCCCUGGACUGGGAAACUUGAGAUACUUCUUGCAUUAUGUAUCUAUAGAAAUAGAAAGGGCGAUUCUGUACCAACAAGAAUGUUCAGCACUUGGAACAGCUGCUACAAGAACAGUCUUGUAGCUUGCAGGUGUGACAAGUCAGAUUAAUUCAAAGCCUCAGGUCAGGCUCCUUGGUUACUACAAAUGAACUAAUCAAUGCUGUUAAGUCACACAUCUCACACCCACAACACCUAGGUCUGAGUCACUGGAGCAGGAAAACAAAAUUUCUUUAACUAACAUAGAAGGGAAGAAGACAACAGCUGGGGCCUGCCUUGAAGAUAGCAAUUCAAAGAAAAGCAGGCACAAAACUAGUGGUUGUUGAGGCUGAAGAUAUGGGGCCCAGAGCUAUACUAAAAUUACAAGAGAUAUCUGAAUUUCAUGGUUCUUAAUUCCACUACGUGGUUCUGGUAACAGUAUGAAUGAUGACAGCUCUGCCCUGGUGGUACACAAUAAAACCAGAGCCCCUAAAUGAAGCAACAGCUUUCCCUUUCCACUGCUAGCUUGUUUUAUGUUAAAUAUGUAUAAUUGUGUUCUGUGCUUUUUCUCUCUUUGCAAGAGACUACAAUGUUACUUAAGCAUGAAAAGAAGGAGAUUAAAUUGUUUCUAUAAAGCUGCAACUGUACUCUGAAUUCAGGAUCAUUCCAACUCUGCAUGUGUCAUGGGAACAUGAGACAGCAGCUUGCUAUUCCCAAGGGGAUUACUAUCAACAGAACCAAACUAGGGGUGAAAAGGACACAUCUUUUCAGACAAACACACACACUAUAUUCAACUCUGCUGUAAGCAUGAAGCAGACGUUGCCUAUGUAAUGCAAGAUGUGCAAGGCUUCCCUCCUCUGCCAAAAUCAGGGAUUUUCCCCUGGACUUCCUAGAUAAAAGACUCCCUCCAGCAUUGUCUGAGGAGGCCAGAGCCAGGACACAGAGCAUUUUAUACUACUGAGUAGAUAACUUCCUACAAAACCACUGUGAUUAAGGAUUGAACAGGAAAUGCCUUCUCACUGCCAGUUUAUACAAUAAUUGGAUUUGGAAGGUAAUGCUACAACAAGUUCACACCUCAGCAAACUAGAGCCCUGGGAUUUGCACCCUGGAAUGUGUCGGAGCUGCCUGGGGCCAUGCAGGUGCCAGGAAACACUGCACAGGCAGGCAUGCGAAUUCUGUUUCUUGCCUGAAGACAGCAGGAGGUAUGCACCAAUUUAAACUUUCAGGGCUCACUUUCUUAAAUGCUGCUGUGUUACUUGACUAGUAUUUGUCUUUGGCAGGGUCUGAACAGCUAUUCCAGGGGAAGAAUGCUUUAGGAUUAGUACUGUAAAGGAAUGUGAUGCCCCUUACCACAGCAAACUGUUUGUUGAGCUUCAUCUGCUCAGCCAGCACAGUGACAUUGUGGAAAAGAUGAGGCUGCAUGUGACUCCACAUAUGAGGGAACCACCAGAACUCCUUCCUAUGCUUGAGUAGCAUGUCAUCGCCUUCAUCUUCCUCAUCUGUACCUACAGAGAGCAGACACAGACACGCAAAAACACAAAGCAGAAGAAGGACUUGAUGUUUCUAAGCAGUGGCUAAUCUCCUGCAAUGGUAAGUUGUUCCAACAGAGGAUCAAGCUCUGUCUAAUGUGUUACACAGACAUGCACACGCACAAAGAGUAAGGCAGGGAGCUGGCAAAAGUUGCGAGUGGUAGAAGAGAUGCAUCACUUCUGCCAAGAGCCACAACAGAACUGUACAUUGUCAGGGUGCCAUGAAGCUCCCGCAAACAUGUGGGCCGUAUGCAGGCGCUGGGACAAAGGGGUGCCAGAGGCUUACCUGUGUGGUAGAAUUUCCCUGAGAAGCCCAGGUUGAAGGUGAAAUUUGGGACUAAAGUUCUCAGCUUAUUCUGGGUGCUCAGUAAAGCCUGUUUGAAUGAAAGGAAAAAGAAAUGUUCAUACUCAGUUGUUUUGUAAGAUUCCUCUGUUCUGCUGAUGCCGGUUCAGUCUGAAGAGGUGCCACAGGAGAUGGAUCCAAGGCACUGUUACCUGUGGAGUGAGGUAGCCAAGGGUUCCACAUAUAGAGCCUUUAUGUGAAGUACUAUCCUGCCUUAUUGAACGAUGUCACUUUAAAAAUACAGUCACAUCCAUCUCUCAUACAUCCUCUCGACCUCACUGUAAAGUACCCACAGUGCUUGUGCUAAGGCAAAAGGACAAAUCUCACUUCUAAACAACAGGUCCCUUAGUCUUCCCAGGCUCAACCCUCAACGCUCCCUUCCCCUCCCACGUCAGCUGGGACUUUUCACCUUCCUCUGAGUCUAUGGGUUAAAGAAAAGCAAGACAGAGCUGGACAUGGUGCACAGUCUGAGGAAAAGAAUUCAGCUGUAUCACAAACAGAAACCGAGUGUUCCAAGGGGAGGAUUCAAAGAGGAAAGGUACAUUCACAGAAAUAACCACAUAAGGAGUCCUGCAAUGACAGGGAGGUAUCUCUGGCUGGAAAAUUCCCUGGAUUUUGGAAAGAAAACCUGGGUGAGCUGACAUUCAGUCAUGAUUUCUCCUACAAGUUCUCUCUGCCUUGCCUGUCAGCUUUAAACGUCCAAAAUAAGUGCUGAAGCCAAAGGGAAGGAGCCUUGUGCCACACCCCAAGGUUCAGCAGAACAGGGUAAGAUAGCAGAUAGUCUUGACAGAAAAACAAAGCUGCUCAGUAAGCCAUGAGCAAGAUGUACACUAACUCCAGUCAAAUUUCUUCUGUUACAAAACAGUGAAAAUCAAAGCCCUGAAAUGACCUUUAACACCAGUCUUGGGAUAAAUGCAAAUGUACACACACAUAACACUGGAGAAGUCAUACAGACUUCUUGGAACUGAGGAGAUGGGCAGAUCUUCCUUCACCAGCUGUCCUUCCCUUGCCUUAAGGGGCACAGAGGAGUACAACAAGGCUGCCUUUGCAUGCCUCCUGCUGUAUAGGCAUUGUUUAGGCACACUGCCCCUUAGGUACUGGAAAGUGCUUUGACAAAUGCCAACUCUGCAGAGGAACUCACUUUGUCACACACCACUGAAGGGUAUCCUGAAUGAGUCACUGCUGUUACUAAUAUUUCAAAAUAGUGUUGACCAAACACUGACCGUCACAUUAACUUAAAGACAAUGACUUAAGUAACACAACCACCCAUCUCUUUUAUAUGCAUCUUGGAGAGAGGUGAUUAGUGGACUAAACGGAGUCUUUCUUAUCCGGAGACAAGCAGCCCACGACCCAUCCAUCUCACACAUGGCAAGGUGGAAAGAACAGACAAUUUAUUUCUAUAGUGCUAAUGACACACCCCAUGCUUUCCAAUGGCCUAAAAUAACAAAGCUUUCAGACUUCUCCCUAGAGAAACACUUAACUGCUUGUCCCCCAUCUCCACAUACACAUACAACAGCAAGAACAAAUGCCAGCCUAGGACAAAUUUCUAACAGAGAUCCCAACUCCUCCAUGACCACAUGCCUACCACACCUUUAUCCCAGCUCCCACUCAAAGGUGGAGUUCUGAGAGAUGUUUGGCACACGACAUCUCCAGAACCCACCACACAUACAAGUAGGGCUUAACAAGGUGACGUGCCGGUAGCACUGAUGGCUGAAGCCUUUUUUGCUGCACAAGGUCCUGAAUAGGCAACGGGAAAUCAAGUUCCCUUCACAUAAGGCACAGGGACUUAUCCCGUAGCAGGGAGCAGUGACUAAGAGCUGUGCAUCUCUCUCCAGAGAAUAGCCUGCUUGCCCAGCCAGAUGACACCACCACUCCCAGCAUGGAAUCAGCACUUGGAACACUUAGGUAGGAAAGUGCCACUUCCUCAUAUUUCCCCCAGAGCUGUCCCAUGCCUUUCCACUUCUCUCUGUUGCCCCGAAAGGCACAUGUACUUCCUCAAGCUUGAGUGGGAAGGUAGAGGGAGGAAAGACAGCAGCUAAGAGGCUUAGCAUUUCUCUGUGCUGAGGGAGAUUUAAAGCCUGGCUGGGGUUACCAUGACGACACAUCUGUCUGAUGAUAAAUCCCCCAAAGCUGUGCUCCAGCAGGCAGCAAUCCUUUGUGGCUGGGGAGGGACCCACGGAGAGUCCAUGGGGGCCCCAGCAAUUCUGAGACUGAGGAGCCCCGCAGAGUCUAGCAGAGCCCUGCCUUCUUGGAGGCUUUAUUGCUCAUCAUGUGCCAUCCCUGCACUGAUGCUUGGUCUUUCUCACAGCUGUAAGGUGGCACAAGGUAUGUCUGAAUAAAUACCUUUCACCUGCACAGGAUCAAAGAGAGUAAGAUGCCAAGCAAAAUACUUGGAGAUUCAUUAAAAAAAACCUAUCAUUCACUGUUCCCUAGCAUAUGGAUUCCAAGUGAUCCAUGAGCUGCAGUGAUGCAAAACAAUACAGCUGUGGGAGUGGGCUGGAAAGGUGGUGUUUCUCUCCUCUGACACUCCUGCACUCUGUUUCUCUUUUACUUAACUAGCCGGAUGCAAACAGAUCUUCAAGUCCAUAUUUAAGGAAUUUCAUGGGAUGCAGAGCUUGUAUUUUAGCUGUUCACCAUCUGUAUAAAGGAAAGUUUCUUCCCUUAGAAAAUCACUCUUGACAAAUUUCUAUUUUCUAACUGAAUUCCUUUCCAAAAAUCCUUCCAAGACAUAUGCCUGCCUACUAGCCAGCCCUAAAGGCCCCUUCGCUAUCUCUGCUCUCUACUAGAAUCUCAGCAAGGCUCAUCCCAGAAGGAAAAGAUGCGGUGUCCAAGAGAACCCAGCAAAGUGCUGCCCAAGAGAGCUCAGAAUGACUUCAUGCUUGUUAUAGUCCAUCAAGAGUCUAUCACCUAGGCAUCACAUUAAUACAGAACUCAACUUUCACAUCACUCUGCUUUUUUAGCUAUGAAUAUACAUCUUUUUUAAUCUUCUAAUUAUCUCUUCUAUUUCAGGUAUCUCUAAAAAAGCAGCAAAAGAAAUGUGGGAAACACGGUUGAAAGGUGGACGCUAGGAUGAGAGGAUACCAUAAGGUUUGGCAAACAGUACAUGGGCAGAUGAUAAAGAACAUCGUAAAUACUUAAAGUAUAUAAAGUAUAUAUAAGUAUACUGGGAACAUCCAAAGCAAAGCAUACAAAGCAUUGCUGCAGAAACACCUUCAGAGGAACUGCCCAUCACAGAGCAGCACAUUCUCAAAAGGAUCUUCCUCAGUUUUCUCAUUGCCUGGUGGUACCACUGGCAUAGCUCAAAAUGGUGCUGUCAAAAGAGAAAGCACUCACAGUGCUGGUAUUCCCAGCUCCCCUGCAAUGCCAGAAUCAGGGAGUUAGAAUUGCUGGGUAUUCUGAUUUCACCUAAGAUCAUCAUAUGCAAUUUAGAAAGGCAAGAGCUGAUUGAAAGCUGUCCUUACUAGACUCUCUUCCACUCUCACCAUUCAAUAACCCAAACUCCCUGAUUUUCAUUUAACUUGCUCUUGGAAUCAGGAGCAGUGAUUGCUUGCUAUUUAUGCCCUUGUAGAGAUUACCACCAGAGAGGCAAAAACUCAUCUGCUUAAUCUUCUUUCCUCAUACCUAAAGCAGACCAGGAAGGAUCACAAAAGCCAGAUCCUUCUGCAUUAGUCUUUGUUGGCCAGUUCCAUGGAGGUUUGGUAAAUUCAGAGGAUUAGGAUUUUACAAGGGACUGAAUGUGGACUUGUUGAUAAGAGGAAGGAUUCUCUGAGAUUUUGCUUUGUUAAUUAUGUGCAGUUCAAUCCCUGGUAAACUUUACAAGGGAAAAACAUUUUCCUUGAGCAGCUCCCAAGUGCUUUGCUUCAGUAGAGGACUGCAAGUUCUUGCUCCAGCCCUUCAGCAGGAACAGGAACUCAAGGGGUGAGCAUCUUUAAAGUAAAAACAAACAAGUUUCCUUUUUUUCUUUUUCUUUUUAAAGAUAAAAAGCUAACCAGUCCUCUAAACAUCACAAAUAAAAACAUCUCUCAUCUCAUGCAGGACAUCUACCAUAGGCACGCAUGCAGUCAAUCAAAUCAUAUCCAGCAUUUCCUUUUAAUAGUAAUUUUGUCUGGAAAGCCGUUUGAACAUGGACCUGCAUAUGGCAAACGAGCUCACUGGGAUAGCAGAGUCAAUUUUAUACGUUCACACAACAUCCAGUCUUCAAACCGCUACCCCGACUACUGUAAUCUAAAUUUCAAGAUAAGGAACUGCGUGUUGAGAUAGCAGCCUUGAAACACAGCUUUUAUAUAAAAGGCCAAAUAAAAUGCCAGCUGUUUUGUCACUAUUAUAUUCCCCUCUCCCCACAGCGAGAGGCUAUCAACAAAUCCACGUUGUUAUUUCUCGCUUUUAAAAAAUAAAAAUUCAUUAACCUCUCA